rnacentral:rRNA from 1 species
CAGAGGCGAUGAAAGACGUGACAGCCUGCGAAAAGCGUCGGGGAGGCGGCAAUAUCCUGUGAUCCGGCGAUAUCUGAAUGGGGAAACCCACCUACCAUAAGGUAGGUACCCCGCUAUAUUUUAUAGCGGGGGGCAAACCGGGAGAAGUGAAACAUCUCAGUAACCCGAGGAAAAGACAUCAAUAGAGAUUCCCCUAGUAGCGGCGAGCGAACGGGGAGGAGCCGACUGAUUAUAAUUUAGAGGAAUGACUUGGAAAGGUCAAUCGUAGAGGGUGAUAAUCCCGUACUCGAAAGGUUAUAAGAAGCAUAUUAAGUAGGGCGGAACACGAGAAAU